ensembl:misc_RNA 7SK 7SK RNA
GGAUGUAGGGCAAUCUGGCUGUGACAUCUGUCACACCGUAGAUCCCCAGGGUUGAUCAGGCUGAUGUAGCUGGCUAGGCAGGUGUCCCCUUCUUUCCUCACCACUCCACGUGCAUCCUUCUUGAAGCUGCACACUUGGGAGAAGAGAAUGAACAUCCCGGAUAGGAGAGGACUGUUCUUUGGUCAAGAGUAUACGAAUAGCCGCAUCCCCCUGCUAGAACCUCCAAACAAGCUCUCAAGAUAAAAAUAUGAGAGAAUCGUUAGCACAUAUGAAGGGCAAUUCAUGAAGACUCGAGUCCUGAAU